UAAUUUUCAGCAGUAGUUAAAACGCCAAUCAAGCUCCACUCUCACUCUCCCUCUCUCUCUCUCUCUCUCCCUCUCUCUCUCUCUCUCCAGAAUCCAGAAUACACUUUCGUUUUCUGGAUAGAAAACAAAAACAAAACUAAAAAAAUCUCAAGGAAAAUCGAAGAACACAAGACGAAAGAGAGAAAACGGACUUAGCGAUCAGAUCAGCUAGAGGUCACUCUUUUCUGAUAUCUUUUUCUUGAAGCUUGGAGACGGAGAUCAAAUGCGACAUAUCUGCUUCCACUUUUCUUCUGAACUCUUCCAGGACCAUUGUUGCUUGGAUGCGAUGGGAGACAGAACUACAAAGACUCAUGAGGGUGCCAAGUACUAGCUUCUACAAUACUUAGCAGAAAAUCAUGGCAUCUGCCAGCCUUGGAAAUGGAGGAGUAGGCAGCUCAAGAUCUGUCAAUGGCUUCAAGAGCUCUUCUAGUUCAGUAGAUUGGCUGGGGAGAGAAAUGCUUGAGAUGAGGUUGAGGGACAAGGUGGACCAUGAUGAGGACAGAGAUAUUGAACCUGAUAUCAUUGACGGUGUACGUGCUGAUACAGGACAUGUGAUAAGAACCACUAUUGGUGGUCUAAAUGGUCAAUCUAAGCAG